UCCUCAAAAGGCCAGGGCUUCAGCUCAGUGGGAGAGCAUCUGCUUUCCAAGCAGAAGGUCCUAGGUUCCAGGUAGGGCCAGGAA